ACUGCUAUCGGAUUGAUACUAAGCCAUGCGAGUCUUUGUAGUAAUACAAGGCAGACGGCUCAGUAACACGUAGUCAAUCUACCCUAUGGACGGGGAUAACCUCGGGAAACUGAGAAUAAUACCCGAUAGAUCACUAUGCCUGGAAUGGUUUAUGGUCGAAAUGAUUUAUCGCCGUAGGAUGGGACUGCGGUCUAUCAGCUUGUUGGUGAGGUAAUGGCCCACCAAGGCUAUAACAGAUACGGGCUCUGAGAGGAGAAGCCCGGAGAUGGGUACUGAGACACGGACCCAGGCCCUAUGGGGCGCAGCAGGCGAGAAAACUUUGCAAUGUGCGAAAGCACGACAAGGUUAAUCCGAGUGUUUUCUGCUAAAGAAAUCUUUUGUCAGUCCUAAAAACACUGAUGAAUAAGGGGUGGGCAAGUUCUGGUGUCAGCCGCCGCGGUAAAACCAGCACCUCAAGUGGUCAGGAGGAUUAUUGGGCCUAAAGCAUCCGUAGCCGGCCGUGUAAGUUUUCGGUUAAAUCUAUACGCUCAACGUAUAGGCUGCCGGGAAUACUGCACAGCUAGGGAGUGGGAGAGGUAGACGGUACUCGGUAGGAAGGGGUAAAAUCCUUUGAUCUAUUGAUGACCACCUGUGGCGAAGGCGGUCUACUAGAACACGUCCGACGGUGAGGGAUGAAAGCUGGGGGAGCAAACCGGAUUAGAUACCCGGGUAGUCCCAGCUGUAAACAAUGCAAACUCAGUGAUGCACUGGCUUGUGGCCAGUGCAGUGCCGCAGGGAAGCCGUUAAGUUUGCCGCCUGGGAAGUACGUACGCAAGUAUGAAACUUAAAGGAAUUGGCGGGGGAGCACCACAAGGGGUGAAG
rnacentral:rRNA from 1 species